AUCCUUUGUCUGGCAGUAUCAUAACCAAUGAAGUUAAUCUGAGGUGUGAUUAUUGCUAGUUGUAAACUGUAUUAUCCUUUGCACGUGUCCAUCCCAUAAAAUAGAUGCCAAUUAAUAAGAGAUCCUUGCUAUUAAG
rnacentral:snRNA from 1 species